rnacentral:tRNA from 1 species
GGGCCCGUAGCUCAGUGGCAGAGCAGUCGGCUCAUAACCGAUCGGUCGCAGGUUCGAUCCCUGCCGGGCCCA